UACAGAGGGUGCAAGCGUCAAUCGGAGUUACUGGGCGUAAAGGGCGCGUAGGCGGUUAUAUAAGUGAGAUGUGAAAUCCCUGGGCUUAACCUAGGAACUGCAUCUCAUACUGUAUGACUGGAGUAUUGUAGAGGGUAGUGGAAUUUCCGGUGUAGCGGUGAAAUGCGUAGAGAUCGGAAGGAGCACCAGUGGCGAAGGCGGCUACCUGGACAAAUACUGACGCUGAGGCGCGAAAGCGUGGGGAGCAAACAGG
rnacentral:rRNA from 1 species